rnacentral:rRNA from 1 species
GACGAACGCUAGCGGCGUGCUUAACACAUGCAAGUCGAACGGGCCUUGUCCCCUUUUUUUUGGGGGUGGGGUUAGUGGCGAACGGGUGAGUAACACGUGAGUAACCUGCCCCUCACUUCUGGAUAACCGCUUGAAAGGGUGGCUAAUACGGGGUGUUCUGGCCUGCUCGCAUGGGUGGGUUUGGAAAGAUUCGACCGGUUUUGGUUGUUUUGGUGGGGGAUGGGCUCGCGGCCUAUCAGCUUGUUGGUGGGGUGAUGGCCUGCCAAGGCUUUGACGGGUAGCCGGCCUGAGAGGGUGGGCGGUCACACUGGGACUGAGACACGGCCCAGACUCCUACGGGAGGCAGCAGUGGGGAAUAUUGCACAAUGGGCGCAAGCCUGAUGCAGCGACGCCGCGUGAGGGAUGGAGGCCUUCGGGUUGUGAACCUCUUUCGCCAGUGAAGAAGGUCCUGCUCUUUGUGGUGGGGUUGACGGUAGCUGGGUUAAUGAAGCGCCGGCUAACUACGUG